UACGGAGGGUGCAAGCGUUAAUCGGAAUUACUGGGCGUAAAGCGUGCGUAGGCGGUUCGUUAAGUCUGUUGUGAAAGCCCCGGGCUCAACCUGGGAAUGGCAAUGGAUACUGGCGAGCUAGAGUGUGUCAGAGGAUGGUGGAAUUCCCGGUGUAGCGGUGAAAUGCGUAGAGAUCGGGAGGAACAUCAGUGGCGGAAGGCGGCCAUCUGGGGACAACACUGACGCUGAGGCACGAAAGCGUGGGGAGCAAACAGG
rnacentral:rRNA from 1 species